rnacentral:rRNA from 1 species
GACGAACGCUGGCGGCGUGCUUAACACAUGCAAGUCGAGCGGUAAGGCCCUUUUGGGGGUACACGAGCGGCGAACGGGUGAGUAACACGUGGGUGACCUGCCCUCAGCUCUGGGAUAAGCCUGGGAAACUGGGUCUAAUACUGGAUAUGACCUUUCCUCGCAUGGGGUUGGGUGGAAAGUUUUUCGGCUGGGGAUGGGCCCGCGGCCUAUCAGCUUGUUGGUGGGGUGAUGGCCUACCAAGGCGACGACGGGUAGCCGGCCUGAGAGGGCGACCGGCCACACUGGGACUGAGACACGGCCCAGACUCCUACGGGAGGCAGCAGUGGGGAAUAUUGCGCAAUGGGCGGAAGCCUGACGCAGCGACGCCGCGUGGGGAUGACGGCCU